rnacentral:rRNA from 1 species
UGCAGUCGAACGCUGAAGCCUGGUGCUUGCACCGGGUGGAUGAGUGGCGAACGGGUGAGUAACACGUGAGUAACCUGCCCCUGACUUCGGGAUAAGCCCGGGAAACUGGGUCUAAUACCGGAUACGACUGCCGGACGCAUGUCUGGUGGUGGAAAGUUUUUUCGGUUGGGGAUGGGCUCGCGGCCUAUCAGUUUGUUGGUGAGGUAAUGGCUCACCAAGACGACGACGGGUAGCCGGCCUGAGAGGGCGACCGGCCACACUGGGACUGAGACACGGCCCAGACUCCUACGGGAGGCAGCAGUGGGGAAUAUUGCACAAUGGGGGAAACCCUGAUGCAGCGACGCAGCGUGCGGGAUGACGGCCUUCGGGUUGUAAACCGCUUUCAGCAGGGAAGAAGCGCAAGUGACGGUACCUGCAGAAGAAGUACCGGCUAACUACGUGCCAGCAGCCGCGGUAAUACGUAGGGUACGAGCGUUGUCCGGAAUUAUUGGGCGUAAAGAGCUCGUAGGUGGUUGGUCACGUCUGCUGUGGAAACGCAACGCUUAACGUUGCGCGUGCAGUGGGUACGGGCUGACUAGAGUGCAGUAGGGGAGUCUGGAAUUCCUGGUGUAGCGGUGAAAUGCGCAGAUAUCAGGAGGAACACCGGUGGCGAAGGCGGGACUCUGGGCUGUAACUGACACUGAGGAGCGAAAGCAUGGGGAGCGAACAGGAUUAGAUACCCUGGUAGUCCAUGCCGUAAACGUUGGGCACUAGGUGUGGGGGGCAUUCCACGUUCUCCGCGCCGUAGCUAACGCAUUAAGUGCCCCGCCUGGGGAGUACGGUCGCAAGGCUAAAACUCAAAGGAAUUGACGGGGGCCCGCACAAGCGGCGGAGCAUGCGGAUUAAUUCGAUGCAACGCGAAGAACCUUACCAAGGCUUGACAUACACCGGACCGUCCUGGAAACAGGUCUUCUUCUUUGAAGCUGGUGUACAGGUGGUGCAUGGUUGUCGUCAGCUCGUGUCGUGAGAUGUUGGGUUAAGUCCCGCAACGAGCGCAACCCUCGUUCUAUGUUGCCAGCAUGUGAUGGUGGGAACUCAUAGGAGACUGCCGGGGUCAACUCGGAGGAAGGUGGGGAUGACGUCAAAUCAUCAUGCCCUUUAUGUCUUGGGCUUCACGCAUGCUACAAUGGCUGGUACAGAGAGAGGCGAACCCGUGAGGGCAAGCGAAUCCCUUAAAGCCAGUCUCAGUUCGGAUCGUAGUCUGCAAUUCGACUACGUGAAGUCGGAGUCGCUAGUAAUCGCAGAUC